UACGAAGGGGGGCUAGCGUUGCUCGGAAUACUGGGCGUAAAGCGUGCGCAGGCGGUUUUGUAAGUCUGACGUGAAAUCCCCGGGCUCAACCUGGGAAUUGCGUUGGAGACUGCAAGGCUAGAAUCUGGCAGAGGGGGGUAGAAUUCCACGUGUAGCAGUGAAAUGCGUAGAGAUGUGGAGGAACACCGAUGGCGAAGGCAGCCCCCUGGGUCAAGAUUGACG
rnacentral:rRNA from 1 species